CGGCGCCCCCGAUCUAGGGCAGCGCGUUCCGUACGGAGCGCGAUGUUCCCGCAGCGCGGGGAUUUCUGAGAACUGGGGCUGUGUCCUCAGCUGAACCCGGCGCCGCGGCCCUCGCACUGACGCGGCGCCUUAAAGCGGCGAUGGCCGCGGCGGGCCCCACCGCGCCGGCGGCGCACGUACGCCUGCAGCCCGCAGUGCGGAGCGGGGCUGCGGGCAGCGCUGCCCCAGCCCGAGGGGCUGCCGCCGCGCCGGCCACGAGCCCUGCCCGCACUGGCCGGCUCUCCAGCCCCGAGGGCCUCGCACUGUCCUCGAAGCCCAUGGACUGCGCUUCAGCUCACUGCUUUGCCACCGCUCUCCUUUUUCUGCCUUUUUUCUCUUGUUUUGCAACACCUCAUGCAAGGAGUGAGCUGCCCGACGGUGCUUACUCGUCACCUGUAUCGCGGCAUCCCUUCACUGUGACAGCCUUCGAGGGUGAAACAGCAGAGCUGGCACCAACUCUUGUGCCAGUGUUAAUCAGGAAGUUUUGAAGGCCUUGCAUUCAACAGCACUCAACAAACUGACCUGACGAGCUCUGACCAAGCGCUGCCAAAGGAGGCUGACCUCUAUUCCACACUCCCCACGGGUGGUAUGGCUGUUCUGCUGCCAGCUCCUUUUUCACUGGAUGUCUUUGCUACAGUCAAAGGUAGACGUUCCCAAAUUUACUCUAGUCUAGCUUUCUGCUUUUGAACUUGGGACUCACACACCCAUAUGCACACUGAAGGAUGGUGUCUGAUGCAGGCUGCAAAACCCAUCUGGGAUCCUGGGUGCACAGUCAAGCAGCCAGCCCACGCUGAGUUCAACGCUGCCAUGGCUACACCACUAUCGGCACCAGACCAAGCUGAAAUGCAGAUCCCUGGUGCCCAGGUGGGCUGUAAUGUCAGUGAGGCACAACAUCCCCGGCAUACUUACCACCUGCAGAGAUAAGACCCAGGAGGGAGGAGCCAUGCCUAUUACAGAGGUGCAAGAUCAGCUGAACUGCCCGCAGUUAAGACGCAAUUCAAGAGGUAUUAGAAGGACCUCAAGACCAAGACCACAAUCAAUCCUGUCAUGCAGAAUAAGGGCAGCAUUAGACCAGAAGUUGAAGGCCAGAAGUGUCUUCUGUCAGCAGCCUUCUAUUGUAUAGCUGCUUUUAAAAUAGAAGGACAGUUUGCUAGCAGAUACUUACUGUGUCUUGCAAGACUUUACACAGCAAGCAACUCCACUGAAUCCUUCUGAUCUACAAAAAUUGAAUUUAAAUGUUUCUGUUGCAUCACAUAAAGCAACUUUUUGUCUGCUCGCUCUGUUCAGUGACUGAGAGUCAUUCCUUCAAAAGGUUAAAGCACUUCCUUCCUACCCCACCAGUCUUCACAAUGGGAGUUGUGGCAGCUGUCUGGUGGAAGAGGUUGCUCUGUUUCCUUCUGCUCCAUAAUAAUACAUGGAGACAAUGUGGGCAAUGCAUUGGUAUGAAAGAUGCCACACGCAUGUAAAAUAUAAUGUGUUCAGAUUUAUAUGACAGCUGAAUUACCAUUCUGUCACAUUGCCAGAAUGUCAGUCAUGAAUCUUCAGCGUGGCCUCGGGCUUUAAGAACACAUGUCAGUAAACAGGCCAUUUAUCUUGAUAUAUAAUUUCAGCCAUUACUAACAAUUUAUCAAUCCCUCAGCAUCUUGUCAAAUAAUUUGGAGCUUACACCAUGAGCCCUGGAGAAUGAAAAAAGUCAAAGCAGAAUCUGGAAUAAUGUUUGGAGCCUGUGACCUUCAAAAUAUUAGGAAAUGUUAAUACAGAAGAAAGAAAGAUUUCUUCAUUUUGUCUUGGAAGAAAGUUACCAUCAGAGAAGAAUCCUCUGUGCUCCAUAGAACAGCCCACAAGAAGCAAUAGAACAAGGUUUGAAGCAGAACACCUGAUUCAGACUGUCUUUACGAGACCAUUUGCUCCUCAAAAGAAAGGGUUUUUUGCCCACAGUGGCACUAAAGGUCAUUACAUAAAUUGGCUUUUGGAGCAAAAACCUGAGGGUUCCCACAGUCUGGUCUCUCCAAGAGUGCCUGCCAGGUGCAUGCCAUCCUUAUCCUCCAGAAAGAGGGUGCAAUGUUUUAGGCACAGGCACACGGUGCACAAGACUUGGGGGCAUGGAGUGAAGGAUAGUUGACAUGUCUUUUAUUCUGAAAAGUUCUGGUUUUGAAAACAGAAAACAUUUUUGAAAGCCUCAGGAAUAAUGAAUAGCUCUUCUUCCUCCACAGGCUUACAUCUCCUACAGAACCCGUGCCCAUCCCUCUGGUGAGAAGGGUCCUUCUCCUUCACACACAGACUUGUCCUCCCUCGCCUUCUUUGCAGAUCCUUGAAUCUCACUUUUGCUACUUCCCCUGCAACAUCUCCCUGUGCUCCCCUCAAGCAUGAUCCCUGGCUGCUACCUGAGACCCACCUGUGCCUUCCUUACUCACCUGGAGGUCACAGUUUUCAUUGCUCCCAACUCCCAUGACAGUUCCUGUCCAUGCACUGUCCUCUGGACCAGAGAACCAGCAGCUGCCUUAAAAGCAGCCACUGACAACUUCCACCCUGACUCCACGCAGAUGUGCUACAUUCCUGUACCCAGGCACUAUGCAGAGGGCAAACAUCUGCCCACCAGAAGCAGAUGGAGCUGUAAACAGUGGGUUGAAUUUGGGCUUCAGGCUUUCACAAGUGAGUGCCCUUAGCUGACAAAGGGUGUAAGUGCUGUUGUGUGUUCAGAACCGUAGAGUGGUUUUGGUUGAGAGGGACCUUAAAGAUCACCUAGGUCCUACCCCUCUGCCAAGUUUACACCUCAUUGGUACAGUCUAAGAGAACAUCCUUGUUUAGCCUAGUUAUUGCAAAAAAUCAGCUGUGAAUUAUAAACCAAGCUAUGUAUUAAAUGCAUGCUCUGAAACCAUACCCAAGUAUUACCAUCAGCACAGUCAACUCUGAGUGAUGGGCUGUAUCAUCUGGAGAUAAACAGGUUUGUGAGCACAAUCCGUUUCCAGGCACGUGUGUGUUGCUGUUCAGAAAGUAGACAUGGUCAUUUUGAUACUCUCUCCAAGCAUACAAUUCUGUAUAACAUUGGCAUUGCUUUUUAAGUAUUGUUUGGACCUAAUUCACUUGGAGUCUUGGCGGUUUGGACUACCAGAUACAUUUAAUAGGCAGUGUAUUCUUUAAUAGGCAGUAAUUCUUGGAGGAAUAUUGGAGUUAUUUUAAAAGCUUGGUAUGCUUCCUCAUUGUGGAACUGGGCACAGAUUAUGCUCUAAAUUAGCCAAGAGUUACCUUAAAACAAAACAAACUUGCAAACAAAAAAGCUUUGUCUCUUUUAUUUUCAUUUGUUAUUAACACUUUCCUCUCUGAACUGUACAAAUUAAUGUAAGAGUUAUUCACUAAUGUGAGUAUCUGACAUGAAAUAAGCAAGUCUCCUUCUGCAAAGCUAUUUGCAUAUUACUGAAAUCUGGGUUAGGGCAUCUCCUAGCAGGAACUUUUGAACACUGUCAGCCAAAGAAGCUCUGAAAGUGCUGUGAAAAACGAUUACAAACAUCUAGCUUGUGAAGUUACAUCCUGGAUAUCCAGAUUAACAAACCAGAGAUGCUAUUUUCUGUGUAAAAUGCUGUUGCCCCUCUGAAGGAAACAGACGGUUGUAGGCACCAGUACUAUACAGAAACCAGACAUAUAUCAACAGCUUUAGUGGUAAAGAAACAACAAUACCUUCUGCUUCAGCUUCCUAUCAGACCUGGAGAUCACACCUCUUAUUCUGCCUGGUGUCUCUUAAGCACCAGAGGCCAACAGAUGCUACAUUAGCUGGGAAAAAUGCUGUGAGAACAGUGUUUAGAGUGACUUGCUGACUGAUGACUGAGACCUGAAGACCACCUCGUCAGGUGCAUUGCUCUAACCACGUUCUCUCUUUGGUCUUCAUCAGCCUACGGAUGAUCCACUUACAGACCUAGCCUCUAGCUCUUUUGUUUUGUUUGUGUAUUUUGAUUAUUGUUUGUUUGGUUGUUUGGGUUUUUUUCCUGAGUUAUGGCACAUAAAAUUAUCCAUGGCUGAUGCCAAUUAUCCACGGCAAAGGAUUAUUACUGCUCGAGGUUACACACAGUGAUCUAGCAUGUUAGCAUACAAAAUGGCUGACAUCACUAAUUUUUAUCUCCUGCAGGAAAAGAACAACACUGCCUCAUUUCGGUAGCUACUUCCUCAUAAUUUCCACAUUCAGCUAAUGAAAUUAAUAGCAAUCCAUAAAGCCCUUCACCAUUCAGGACCUGUUUUUGUCAGGAAGGGUGGGCUGCAGUUGAGGGCAGAAGAUUCAGUUAGGGACCCUGGCCUGCCAGGACUCAGUCUCUUUGGGAUGCAGUUCACAAAAGCCAGGAAAAGCUCUUCUGUCUGACAGGAGUGCUUCUCCAUCUACACGGUGAUUUCAGAGGCCCCCAUGUUACUUUGGGUAAUGCCGCAGAGAGGCUCAUGGGCAUUAUUUCAAAGGCAGAGUCUUUUUGUUACUCUCUCUCCUGAU